GACGAACGCUGGCGGCGUGCUUAACACAUGCAAGUCGAACGGAAAGGCCCUGCUUUUGUGGGGUGCUCGAGUGGCGAACGGGUGAGUAACACGUGAGUAACCUGCCCUUGACUUUGGGAUAACUUCAGGAAACUGGGGCUAAUACCGGAUAGGAGCUCCUGCUGCAUGGUGGGGGUUGGAAAGUUUCGGCGGUUCGGGAUGUACUCGCGGCUUAUCAGCUUGUUGGUGGGGUAGUGGCUUACCAAGGCUUUGACGGGUAGCCGGCCUGAGAGGGUGACCAGCGACAUUGGGACUGAGAGACGGCGCAGAGUCGUACGGGGGGCAGCAGUGGGGAAUAUUGUACAAUGGGCGGAAGCCUGAGGUAGCAACGCCGCGGUCGGGAUGACGGCCUUCGGGUUGUAAACCGCUUUCGGCUGUGACGAAGCGUGAGUGACGGUAAUGGGUAAAGAAGCACCGGCUAACUACGUG
rnacentral:rRNA from 1 species